CAACAAGACACUCUUGAUAAAUGGAAGCAAAUGUUUUAGCGAUAUUAUACGAGGGCGGGGUAAGAUCAGGUAAAACGUAAAAUGCAACUUUUAAAUCUUCAAAGAUGAAAUCUAAGUUCAAUUCACCGCUACCGUCCUCAAGGUAAGAAACCCAUGCACGUUGAAAGUUUUCAGCGGCAGCACCUUGAAACUCUUCAAGAACACGUAGACGAAAGUUUCGUAGCUGACGGGUCAUCCCUUGCAGACUUAGAAAAGGACCAUCUUGGGAGUCCGGUAGGCUGGAUUUAGCAUCGCGUAUACUUUUCAACACUUCAUCAGAAGAUUCUUCAGCCUCGACAAUUUUGAAAAUUUGAACAAUGGUUUUUAUAUGGCCACUUUUGACGAGUUGGAAAAUGUUACGGCAAAAAUUCAAAACCAACCGAUCGAAAUUAUCAGAUAGAGUGUUUAAAUUAGAAAAAGAAUUCUCUAGGGUAAUUGGAAGAUCACUUUGGCCUUCAAGGGAUGCCUGGUAUAGGGCUUCUUCACGGAAUUCUCGAAGCUUAGAAAGUUUAUAAUGGGCGCGUAACAAAUUUGGCAUAUCAGAGUCAAGUUCUAAAUCUUCACGCAACAUGUCUUCUAUUACAUCUGUCUCCUUGACUAAAUUAUUUAACUGCGAUAUCAUUUGUUUUGUUGCAUAACAAUUUUUGUAUAUCCGAGACAUGCGACUGAUUAACGGAAAUUCAUCGACCAUCUCGCGUGCACUCUCACAUAAAGUCAACAUCUAAAAAAAAAUCAACAUUAGUAAAAAAGUCUUUUAGAAAAUGUCAAGAAAGCUUAAGCUUCGACUUUACUCACGUUAUGCAAUUCCUGAAGAAGCUUCACUCUUUUCGUUUGAGCAUCAUGCAGUGCCAAUUUCCCCAA